CGCAUCAGCACGCUGACAAUUAUUACCACCACCAUUACCACAGGUAACGGUGCGGGCUGACGCGUACAGGAAACACAGAAAAAAGCCCGCACCUGAACAGUGCGGGCUUUUUUUU
rnacentral:sRNA from 2 species